AUAGCGUAUAUUUAAGUUGCUGCAGUUGAAAAGCUCGUAGUUGGAUUUCGGGUGGGCCGGCUCGGUCCAUUGUUGUUCCCCUCGGGGUCAAUAUGAGCACCGCCCGCGGCCCACUCUGGUGUCGGGGACGGGCUCCCCCGGCUUCGCUGCCGGGGGACCCGGAGUCGACGGCGUUACUUUGAGUAAAUUAGAGUGUUCAAAGCAGGCUCUCCGCUCUGAAUAGCUUAGCAUGGAAUAACAGCACAGGACUCCGGCUCCUCCUGUUGGUCUGGGUGCCCGGAGUAAUGAUUGAGAGGGACAGUCGGGGGCAUUCGUAUUUCGUUGUCAGAGGUGAAAUUCUUGGAUUUA
rnacentral:rRNA from 1 species